UACAGGGGGUGCAAACGUUUGCUCGGAAUUAUUGGGCGUAAAGCGCGCGUAGGCGGCCACUUAAGUCGGAUGUGAAAGCCCCUGGCUCAACUGGGGAAGUGCACCCGAAACUGAAUGGCUUGAGUGCGAAAGAGGGUCGCGGAAUUCCCGGUGUAGAGGUGAAAUUCGUAGAUAUCGGGAGGAACACCGGUGGCGAAGGCGGCGACCUGGGUCGACACUGACGCUGAGGCGCGAAAGCUGGGGGAGCAAACGGG
rnacentral:rRNA from 1 species